rnacentral:rRNA from 1 species
UACAGAGGUCUCAAGCGUUGUUCGGAUUCAUUGGGCGUAAAGGGUGUGUAGGUGGCGCGCUAAGUCGGGUGUGAAAUUUCGGAGCUUAACUCCGAAACUGCAUUCGAUACUGGCGUGCUUGAGGACUGGAGAGGAGACUGGAAAUUCAUGGUGUAGCAGUGAAAAUGCGUAGAGAUCAUGAGGAAGACCAGUGGCGAAGGCGGGUCUCUGGACAGUUCCUGACACUGAGACACGAAGGCCAGGGGAGCAAAACGGG